rnacentral:rRNA from 1 species
GGGUUGUGAGGUUAAGCGACUAAGCGUACACGGUGGAUGCCCUGGCAGUCAGAGGCGAUGAAGGACGUGCUAAUCUGCGAAAAGCGUCGGUAAGGUGAUAUGAACCGUUAUAACCGGCGAUGUCCGAAUGGGGAAACCCAGUGUGAUUCGUCACACUAUCGUUAACUGAAUACAUAGGUUAACGAGGCGAACCGGGGGAACUGAAACAUCUAAGUACCCCGAGGAAAAGAAAUCAACCGAGAUUCCCCCAGUAGCGGCGAGCGAACGGGGAGCAGCCCAGAGUCUGAAUCAGCUUGUGUGUUAGUGGAACGGUCUGGAAAGUCCGACGGUACAGGGUGAUAGUCCCGUACACCAAAAUGCACAGGCUGUGAACUCGAAGAGUAGGGCGGGACACGUGGUAUCCUGUCUGAAUAUGGGGGGACCAUCCUCCAAGGCUAAAUACUCCUGACUGACCGAUAGUGAACCAGUACCGUGAGGGAAAGGCGAAAAGAACCCCGGCGAGGGGAGUGAAAAAGAACCUGAAACCGUGUACGUACAAGCAGUGGGAGCACCUUCGGGUGUGACUGCGUACCUUUUGUAUAAUGGGUCAGCGACUUAUAUUCUGUAGCAAGGUUAACCGUAUAGGGGAGCCGCAGGGAAACCGAGUCUUAACUGGGCGUUAAGUUGCAGGGUAUAGACCCGAAACCCGGUGAUCUAGCCAUGGGCAGGUUGAAGGUUGGGUAACACUAACUGGAGGACCGAACCGACUAAUGUUGAAAAAUUAGCGGAUGACUUGUGGCUGGGGGUGAAAGGCCAAUCAAACCGGGAGAUAGCUGGUUCUCCCCGAAAGCUAUUUAGGUAGCGCCUCGUGAAUUCAUCUUCGGGGGUAGAGCACUGUUUCGGCUAGGGGGUCAUCCCGACUUACCAACCCGAUGCAAACUACGAAUACCGAAGAAUGUUAUCACGGGAGACACACGGCGGGUGCUAACGUCCGUCGUGAAGAGGGAAACAACCCAGACCGCCAGCUAAGGUCCCAAAGUCAUGGUUAAGUGGGAAACGAUGUGGGAAGGCACAGACAGCCAGGAUGUUGGCUUAGAAGCAGCCAUCAUUUAAAGAAAGCGUAAUAGCUCACUGGUCGAGUCGGCCUGCGCGGAAGAUGUAACGGGGCUAAACCAUGCACCGAAGCUGCGGCAGCGACACUAUGUGUUGUUGGGUAGGGGAGCGUUCUGUAAGCCUGCGAAGGUGACCUGUGAGGGUUGCUGGAGGUAUCAGAAGUGCGAAUGCUGACAUAAGUAACGAUAAAGCGGGUGAAAAGCCCGCUCGCCGGAAGACCAAGGGUUCCUGUCCAACGUUAAUCGGGGCAGGGUGAGUCGACCCCUAAGGCGAGGCCGAAAGGCGUAGUCGAUGGGAAACAGGUUAAUAUUCCUGUACUUGGUGUUACUGCGAAGGGGGGACGGAGAAGGCUAUGUUAGCCGGGCGACGGUUGUCCCGGUUUAAGCAUGUAGGCUGGUUGUCCAGGCAAAUCCGGAUAAUCAAGGCUGAGGUGUGAUGACGAGGCACUACGGUGCUGAAGUAACAAAUGCCCUGCUUCCAGGAAAAGCCUCUAAGCAUCAGGUAACAUUAAAUCGUACCCCAAACCGACACAGGUGGUCAGGUAGAGAAUACCAAGGCGCUUGAGAGAACUCGGGUGAAGGAACUAGGCAAAAUGGUGCCGUAACUUCGGGAGAAGGCACGCUGGUGUGUAGGUGAAGUCCCUGCGGAUGGAGCUGAGACCAGUCGAAGAUACCAGCUGGCUGCAACUGUUUAUUAAAAACACAGCACUGUGCAAACACGAAAGUGGACGUAUACGGUGUGACGCCUGCCCGGUGCCGGAAGGUUAAUUGAUGGGGUUAUCCGUAAGGAGAAGCUCUUGAUCGAAGCCCCGGUAAACGGCGGCCGUAACUAUAACGGUCCUAAGGUAGCGAAAUUCCUUGUCGGGUAAGUUCCGACCUGCACGAAUGGCGUAAUGAUGGCCAGGCUGUCUCCACCCGAGACUCAGUGAAAUUGAACUCGCUGUGAAGAUGCAGUGUACCCGCGGCAAGACGGAAAGACCCCGUGAACCUUUACUAUAGCUUGACACUGAACAUUGAGCCUUGAUGUGUAGGAUAGGUGGGAGGCUUUGAAGCGUGGACGCCAGUCUGCGUGGAGCCAACCUUGAAAUACCACCCUUUAAUGUUUGAUGUUCUAACGUUGGCCCCUGACCGGGGUUGCGGACAGUGUCUGGUGGGUAGUUUGACUGGGGCGGUCUCCUCCCAAAGCGUAACGGAGGAGCACGAAGGUUAGCUAAUCCUGGUCGGACAUCAGGAGGUUAGUGCAAUGGCAUAAGCUAGCUUGACUGCGAGCGUGACGGCGCGAGCAGGUGCGAAAGCAGGUCAUAGUGAUCCGGUGGUUCUGAAUGGAAGGGCCAUCGCUCAACGGAUAAAAGGUACUCCGGGGAUAACAGGCUGAUACCGCCCAAGAGUUCAUAUCGACGGCGGUGUUUGGCACCUCGAUGUCGGCUCAUCACAUCCUGGGGCUGAAGUAGGUCCCAAGGGUAUGGCUGUUCGCCAUUUAAAGUGGUACGCGAGCUGGGUUUAGAACGUCGUGAGACAGUUCGGUCCCUAUCUGCCGUGGGCGCUGGAGAAUUGAGGGGGGCUGCUCCUAGUACGAGAGGACCGGAGUGGACGCAUCACUGGUGUUCGGGUUGUCAUGCCAAUGGCACUGCCCGGUAGCUAAAUGCGGAAGAGAUAAGUGCUGAAAGCAUCUAAGCACGAAACUUGCCCCGAGAUGAGUUCUCCCUGAGACUUUAAGUCUCCUGAAGGAACGUUAAAGACGAUGACGUUGAUAGGCCGGGUGUGUAAGCGCAGCGAUGCGUUGAGCUAACCGGUACUAAUGAACCGUGAGGCUUAACCUUACAACGCCGAAG